rnacentral:rRNA from 1 species
CAGUAGCCGCGGUAAUACGGAGGGGGCUAGCGUUGUUCGGAAUUACUGGGCGUAAAGCGCACGUAGGCGGUUUGUUAAGUCGGAUGUGAAAUCCCCGAGCUUAACUUGGGAACUGCAUUUGAAACUGGCAAGCUAGAGUCUUGUAGAGGGGGGUAGAAUUCCAGGUGUAGCGGUGAAAUGCGUAGAGAUCUGGAGGAAUUCCGGUGGCGAAGGCGGCCCCCUGGACAAAGACUGACGCUCAGGUGCGAAAGCGUGGGGAGCAAACAGGAUUAGAUACCCCGGUAGUCCCUGUCUCUUAUAC